rnacentral:lncRNA from 1 species
UCUACCGUCAUCUAGUGUCAUCUACCGUCAUCUAGUGUCAUCUAGUGUCAUCUACCGUCAUCUAGUGUCAUCUACCGUCAUCUACCGUCAUCUAGUGUCAUCUACCGUCAUCUAGUGUCAUCUAGUGUCAUCUACAGUCAUCUACUGUCAUCUAUCGUCAUCUACUGUCAUCUACUGUCAUCUACCGUCAUCUACUGUCAUCUACCGUCAUCUAGUGUCAUCUAGUGUCAUCUACCGUCAUCUAGUGUCAUCUAGUGUCAUCUACCGUCAUCUAGUGUCAUCUACCGUCAUCUAGUGUCAUCUACCGUCAUCUAGUGUCAUCUAGGGUUAUCUACCGUCAUCUAGUGUCAUCUACUGUCAUCUACCGUCAUCUACCGUCAUCUACCGUCAUCUACUGUCAUCUACUGUCAUCUACCGUCAUCUAGUGUCAUCUACCGUCAUCUACUGUCAUCUAGUGUCAUCUAGUGUCAUCUAGUGUCACCUAGUGUCAUCUACUGUCAUCUAGUGUCAUCUAGUGUCAUCUAGUGUCAUCUACCGUCAUCUAGUGUCAUCUAACGUCAUCUAGUGUCAUCUAGUGUCAUCUACCGUCAUCUAGUGUCAUCUAGUGUCAUCUACCGUCAGCUAGUGUCAUCUACCGUCAUCUAGUGUCAUCUACCGUCAUCUAGUGUCAUCUACCGUCAUCUAGUGUCAUCUACCGUCAUCUACUGUCAUCUAGUGUCAUCUCCUGUCAUCUACCGUCAUCUAGUGUCAUCUACCGUCAUCUACUGUCAUCUACGUGUCAUCUACCGUCAUCUAGUGUCAUCUACUGUCAUCUACUGUCAUCUAGUGUCAUCUACCGUCAUCUAGUGUCAUCUACCGUCAUCUAGUGUCAUCUACCGUCAUCUAGUGUCAUCUACCGUCAUCUACCGUCAUCUACCGUCAUCUACCGUCAUCUAGUGUCAUCUAGUGUCAUCUACCGUCAUCUAGUGUCAUCUACCGUCACCUAGUGUCAUCUAGUGUCAUCUAGGUCAUCUACCGUCAUCUAGUAUCAUCUAUCGUCAUCUAGUGUCAUCUACUGUCAUCUACCGUCAUCUACCGUCAUCUACCGUCAUCUACUGUCAUCUACCGUCAUCUAGUGUCAUCUACCGUCAUCUAGUGUCAUCUACCGUCAUCUAGUGUCAUCUACUGUCAUCUACUGUCAUCUACUGUCAUCUACUGUCAUCUAGUGUCAUCUAGUGUCAUCUACUGUCAUCUACUGUCAUCUAUCGUCAUCUAGUGUCAUCUACUGUCAACUAUCGUCAUCUAGUGUCAUCUAACGUCAUCUAGUGUCAUCUAGUGUCAUCUAGUGUCAUCUACCGUCAUCUAGUGUCAUCUACCGUCAUCUAGUGUCAUCUACCGUCAUCUAGUGUCAUCUACCGUCAUCUAGUGUCAUCUACCGUCAUCUAGUGUCAUCUAGUGUCAUCUAACGUCAUCUAGUGUCAUCUAGUGUCAUCUAGUGUCAUCUACCGUCAUCUAGUGUCAUCUACCGUCAUCUAGUGUCAUCUACCGUCAUCACCUGGAUAGUUUCGUUUAAAUCGCUGUUUUUAUGACAAAAAUUCGGAUUUCCCCAUCUAUUUCCUUAUAAAAAAAUUUCACGGUACUGGCUGGGAGGUUACGCAUGCGCAGUAUGGCCGAUCGUGCGUGUGACUGGUUUUGGCUUGAGUGAACCCUCUGUAUAUACUUCCUCUGUGUCAUCUAGUGUCAUCUACCGUCAUCACCUGGAUAGUUUCGUUAAAAUCGCUGUUUUUAUGACAAAAAUUCGGAUUUCCCCAUCUAUUUCCUUAUAAAAAAAUUUCACGGUACUGGCUGGGAGGUUACGCAUGCGCAGUAUGGCCGAUCGUGCGUGUGACUGGUUUUGGCUUGAGUGAACCCUCUGUAUAUACUUCCUCUGUGGUGCAACGGAGAUAGCGCCCCUGAUCUUUGUGUGAAGCGCGUACCCCCCGUAUACAUUAAUUUAUAAUGUCAAUAAAAAUGGAAUUGGAAUGUUUAUGCAAAAAAGAGCUGAAAAAAACUAAAGUAAAAAAAUGUUUUCUGCAUUCAUAAACAACUUGAUGGUUUGAAGACAUUGUUGGAUUCAUUUUCUGUAUAUCUGAUGAAGGAAAAAGGGCUUUAAAGAUUCAUCAUGAGCGAAAUAAAAAUUUGAAAAGGAAUCGAGCUGAUCGAAUGUGGGCAUAUUCCAAAUACGAGAAUUUUGGUAUCAAAUGGGAUGUUUUACUUCAUAAUGCGAAGGUAGGAUAAACAUUUUCACAGUAAGAAUAUUCUGACAUUGCUUGGCUACUAUUUUUCAAUAAUCAUAUAGCCCACUGAAAAUUGACCAUGCA